rnacentral:lncRNA from 1 species
GAAGGAGGGAGAGAGCCGCCGUCGGGCUCCGGGAUCGGCCCAAGGGGAACGCGGAGCGCGGUGCGGCCGUCGGCGUGCGGUGCCCCGAGAGGAGGCAGGGCUCAGCCGCGGCCCGUGCCGACACCGCGCCUUCGGGUGUGGGGAACUGAGCCCAGGCGGUACGGGAGGGGAAACUCGGCUUUAAUGGAACCCGGAGGAAAAUGCACAGCAAAAAAGAGAAGGGAUGCUCUGCGGACACAGCGGUUGAGGCAGUAUUUAACCGAAGAGUUAAUUUUCAAGAAAAUAUAACAGGAGCGAGGAAUACCGACUGCAUAUUGCAUCCAAACAGUUCGCUUAAUUCACGUCUAAAAAUCAUUACAAAAUGGUUUGGGUCGGGAUGUGUGCACAGAGAUGUGCACUGAAGGGCGUUUGCCAUUGGGAAUGUUCUCGCGCGGCGCCCGGCCGCCCUCGGUCACAGCUGUGUGGCUCUCUCCAGGCUCUUGGCAGCGUCCUUCAGCUUCCCGACCAAAUCCUGCAGCUGCUCCAUGGUGCAGCUGAAGCUGAGGUCUGGCUGUGAUCCCGCGUCACUGUUCUCGGUGCUGAGGGUCAGCAGGUAGGUGGGCUGGUAGGCUCGGUGCAGCUCGUGGGUCUGGAUGCGGUACGCCAGGUGCCAGGACACAUCCGUCACGUGCGGGGGGGCCCGGCCUAUGCUCCCCAGCAGCUCCUCCAGUGCCUCCCGGUGUUUCUGGUACUCGGUGCAGAACUGCUCGAUCCGCUCCCUGUCCAGCUUGCACUCCUCCAGGCACGCGCUGAGGGCCGCGCGGUCGGCUCUCUGCCUGCCCGCCUCCAGGAUGCAGGCGGCGGCGGCGGCGUGGCACUGCUUCAGCACCGCGGGGUCAACGUCGCUCAGCUCGGGGUCGGCCACGCCGCCGCGGGGCUGCAGCACGCCUCGGAAGGCGGCGCGGAGCAGCGCGGCGUAGGCGCGGCGGGACAGGCGCCGGGGGUCGCCCAGCAGCCGGCAGCCGCCCUGCGCGUACGCCGACAGCUCCAUUGCGGCGCCGUGACCUUCGACACGCGCCCACGUGACCGCCGCCGCUGAGGCGGAGCCGUCGCGGCUGCGCCUCCCGCCCGGGGCGGCGGCGGGCGCUCGGUCGGGCCGCGGGCGCUGCGUUGCGUUGCGUUGCGGAGGUCGGACGCCGAGCGAAGCGAGCCGCCGGGUGGCUGCGGGCAAACGUGGCCGAAUACGUGCAACGUAAACACGGACGGUUCCCUUUGUGAUGUUAAAGCGCUCCCUUUCUGCACCUCAGCUCCCCGCUCGGAGCGUCGCGCGGUGGUUACACCGAGGCGGGGGGCGGUCCCGUUUCGGACGCGGGGUUCUCAGUCGGCGGGUGGAAACGUGAAUUUCCGAGCUCGGCUCCCGGCUGCGCUCGGGCGGAGCGGGAGAGGAAAUCCCGGCGCCCGCAGGAUGGGGCCCGCGGUUCCGAGGCGCGCCCCACGUGCGUCCGCUUUAGGCCUCGCGGCACCGCCAGGGCGAACGGCUCCGUUGGGCGCACGCUGCGCUGCCGGCGCGCCGCUCCGACGCUUCGGCGUAGCGAUGAGCGCCGCUGCGACGACGGACGGAGCGCCGAGCCCGGCGGACGGCAUUCCGCGGAUUUGCGUUUUGCCAGGAAGCGGCGAGGCGUGACGGCGGCAAGGUGGGCUCCGGGGCGGCCGUCCUCCGUCCCGUGGCACCGCUGUCACAUAGAGACACGACGCAGAAGAAAAGACAUAAAAUGGAGGAGAAGAAAAACCAUAAAAUGGAGGAGAGGACAAAGCUCAGAGCUGCGGGUUUACGAAGGUGCGGAGACCGCGGCUGUGAAGCAGGAUCGUAAUAAAAAAAAUGCCAGAAAUGUGCACGCGUGGCGUGGCUGCACGCCACGGACAUCUCCUCCCUGUCAUCGACAGCGGGUGGAAAUCUGUGCAUUAAAAUCUAGCUUGAAAGACAGAUUAAUCUGCCGAGGGUUCCUCACAACGCGGCACGGUCCCCAUCGCUCCUUUCAGUCACUCUCACCAGCAGCAGAUCUGGGCUUUCCCUUCCCCUGCCCCACCUCCCAGCACGGGCUCUUCUCCCCUCUCUCCCCCUCCGAAAGGAACGCGAUGCAUUCACGCUGUCAGGCUGAGCAGAUUUCCCUGCUCGUGCAGCGUUUGCACCUCCUAAACCCGGUUCAUUACGAUUUCUAAGAGGGGGGGGGGAACGUAUAUCCAAUAAAGAAACGACAAAGGAAAUUCAUUAAUGCUUGAAUAUUAAUUAAUCAGUGAAACAAACCACCCCGCUCCGUGCAGGCUGCUGUUUCUCCAGCUUGUUCUUUCAUUACUCAGAAGAAAAUAAUGCAGCCGUCCAAAGUGAAGGGCAAUCACUGUGUGUGUCAGGAGCACUAAUUCUUAACGUUUCAGAGUUGCCAUAAGCGUUCCUGAAAACUCCCAGAGCUGCAUUUUUUCCCCUGCAUAUUGGUUUUUGCUGGGUUAGAAGAUGGGAAGGUAAGGUGGUGUUUCUAGCACCGAUUUGAUGCAAAAUCGUUACUGACUUCAAAGAGAGUUUCAGCUCCAGAGCAAUGGGCUGUCCCAGGACCUGGGGUUUAGGUCAGCAGUGAGCCCACUUUACUGUAACCUAUGGAUUCUACAGAGGAAAAAAAAAUGUUUGGGUCGGAGAAGCACAUUAAGUGGCUAUUUACUACAGGUUGUAUUUCUUGCUGGAUUGAUUUCUGAAGGAAAAGCUCGAUAGUCACAUUUCAGUCCCUGAUUGAUAGUAUGAAAGCAUCAAAGAAAAGGACCGUGCAGACCCCAAAAGGCCCAGGAGAAUUCCUCACGUGUCUCUGGUACCAACGUGCAAGGCAGCAAAGAAGCUGCUGCUCUGAGCCAAGCCCUGCCGAGGUCCGCUUCUUUGCUACGGUCCUUAUAGGCAGUCCUCCUGCCCAGGGAAAAUGCAGUGCCCAACACGUCCCUCCAGAAAGAUGUUGUGCUCCCAGGUUUGUGCUGCGUGUCUGAACUGCAGGCAGUGCAUCGUUUGGCUGCAGACAGGGACUGCUCAAUAAAACGCUCGGUGUUUGCUCACAAAUAGUUCUGAUUUAAGUGAGGAGUUUGGGAAAUUAACUUUUUAAUUAAAUAUGUGGAGGAGCUCCAUUU